CUUGGUCAUUUAGAGGAAGUAAAAGUCGUAACAAGGUUUCCGUAGGUGAACCUGCGGAAGGAUCAUUAAAGAAUUGCCCCAUUUUUUGAAAUGGGUUCUAUUCCCAAACCGUGUAUACAUACCUUUGUUGCUUUGGCAAGCCGUCCUUCGGGCGCAGCUUCGGCUGAGAGCGCUUGCCAGAGGACCCCAACUCUUUUGUUUAGUGAUGUCUGAGUACUAUAUAAUAGUUAAAACUUUCAACAACGGAUCUCUUGGUUCUGGCAUCGAUGAAGAACGCAGCGAAAUGCGAUAAGUAGUGUGAAUUGCAGAAUUCAGUGAAUCAUCGAAUCUUUGAACGCACAUUGCGCCCCUUGGUAUCCCGAGGGGCAUGCCUGUUCGAGCGUCAUUAUGACCACUCAAGCCUAGCUUGGUAUUGGGGUUCGCGGUCUCGCGGCUCUUAAAAUCAGUGGCGGUGCCAUCUGGCUCUAAGCGUAGUAAUUCUCUCGCUAUAGGGCUCCGGUAGUUGCUUGCCAAAACCCCCCUAUUUCUCACGGUUGACCUCGGAUCAGGUAGGGAUACCCGCUGAACUUAAGCAUAUCAAUAAGCGGAGGA
rnacentral:rRNA from 1 species